rnacentral:rRNA from 1 species
UACGUAGGGUCCAAGCGUUAUCCGGAAUCACUGGGCGUAAAGCGUGUGUAGGCGGAAGUUUUAAGUGAGAUGCGAAAUCUAGUGGCUCAACCACUCAGACGGUAUCUCAUACUGGGCUUCUAGAAGACGGCAGAGGCAAGUGGAAUUAGUAGUGUAGCGGUAAAAUGCGUAGAUAUUACUAGGAACACCAAUGGCGAAGGCAGCUUGCUGGGCCGUCCUUGACGCUGAGACACGAAAGCGUGGGGAGCAAACAGG